CUUGUACUCCCUCCGUCCGAAAAUACUUGUCAUUUAAAUGGAUGUAUCUAGAUGUAUUUUAGUUCUAGACACAUCCAUUUUGAUGACAAGUAAUUUCGGACGGAGGGAGUACUUG
rnacentral:pre_miRNA from 1 species